rnacentral:rRNA from 1 species
UACAGAGGGGGCAAGCGUUGUUCGGAAUUACUGGGCGUAAAGGGCGCGUAGGCGGCCUACUAAGUCAGACGUGAAAUCCCCAGGCUUAACUUGGGAACUGCGUCUGAUACUGGAAGGCUUGAGUGCGGGAGAGGGAUGUGGAAUUCCAGGUGUAGCGGUGAAAUGCGUAGAUAUCUGGAGGAACACCGGUGGCGAAGGCGGCAUCCUGGACCGACACUGACGCUGAGGCGCGAAAGCUAGGGGAGCAAACGGGG